AACGAACGCUGGCGGCAUGCCUAACACAUGCAAGUCGAACGAGACCUUCGGGUCUAGUGGCGCACGGGUGCGUAACGCGUGGGAAUCUGCCCUUGGGUUCGGAACAACAGUUGGAAACGACUGCUAAUACCGGAUGAUGACUUCGGUCCAAAGAUUUAUCGCCCAAGGAUGAGCCCGCGUAGGAUUAGCUUGUUGGUGAGGUAAAAGCUCACCAAGGCGACGAUCCUUAGCUGGUCUGAGAGGAUGAUCAGCCACACUGGGACUGAGACACGGCCUAGACUCCUACGGGAGGCAGCAGUGGGGAAUAUUGGACAAUGGGCGAAAGCCUGACCCAGCAAUGCCGCGUGAGUGAUGAAGGCCUUAGGGUUGUAAAGCUCUUUUACCCGGGAUGAUAAUGACAGUACCGGGAGAAUAAGCCCCGGCUAACUCCGUGCCAGCAGCCGCGGUAAUACGGAGGGGCUAGCGUGUUCGGAAUUACUGGGCGUAAAGCGCACGUAGCGGUCG
rnacentral:rRNA from 1 species